rnacentral:lncRNA from 1 species
GAGGGGUUCUGAUUGCAGUAAACUCUAACUUUACGUCGGAACUUUUCAUAGUCCAGGUCUCACAAGACCUGGAAUUCCUCUGUGUUAGACUGAUUCUUCCCGGCCAGUCUAUUUAUGUCACUUGCUCGUAUAUUCCACCGUCUUCGGAUGUACCAAUAUACGAGCAGCAUUUGUCUGCCUUAAAAACUGUUUCUUCCUCGCUAUCAGAUAAAGACCAUUUAAUAGUUCUUGGGGAUUUCAACCUGCCAGGUACUGUCUGGUCUUCGGUUAACGAGUCAAACAACCUUGUGCCCAUGUCACGAC